rfam:Ottowia sp. oral taxon 894 strain W10237, complete genome.
GACAGGUGCCCCAAGGCUGCUUUCUUGCGGUCAAAGGGUUAAACGGGAAGCAGGUGCGCGUCUUCAGGCCAUGCCGCAACGGCAUGCGCCCGGGCCGCAAAGCCUGCGCUGCCCCCGCAACGGUCAGCGGAAACCAAACCCCGACAGCCAGCGCGCCCCUCGCGCGCGGCAGCCACUGCGCUUCUUGCCCUGAGCCAUUCAGGGCUGGCGCGGGAAGGCCGGGGCCUCGCAGCAAGCCAGGCGCGCCUUCGCCAGAAGCCGCGUGCCGCCUGCGGCGGUCCGCAAGCCCGGAUACCGGCCUGCCCUCAAGCCUUUCC